rnacentral:rRNA from 1 species
CCUGAGAAACCCAAAAGAUCGAAUGGGGAGAUUCAUCGUCAGCGGCUUUGGCUUCCGUGCGGUACGCGAUGGCGGGGACUUCGGUCUCGCGUCACGCUGCCGCUGCGGCAUGUCCGGAGUCGUCGGCGUGCACUUCUCCCCUAGUAGGACGUCGCGACCCGUUGGGUGUCGGACCGAUGGCCGGUCGGUCGUCUGUGGCGUUCGCGCUGCAGACCGACUCGGUCGCAAGUCCGGCUGCCCGGCGGUAUUGAACGAUAUGAACUGGUAUCGGGCCGCACUCGAAUGCGUUCAGGCUCGUCGGCAGGCUCGUCUCGCUCGGAUUUACGGACCUAGCGCCGUUGCCGGGCGCUUGGCGUGGCUGUUAGUCGACGAUGUCCUCGGACUGGCUCUUACCCGUCGGCGACGCUACUGCUUUGGGUACUUUCAGG